AUUGAACGCUGGCGGCAGGCCUAACACAUGCAAGUCGAGCGGAGCGGCGGACGGGUGAGUAAUGCCUAGGAAUCUGCCUGGUAGUGGGGGAUAACGUCCGGAAACGGGCGCUAAUACCGCAUACUAUCAGAUGAGCCUAGGUCGGAUUAGCUAGUUGGUGGGGUAAAGGCCUACCAAGGCGACGAUCCGUAACUGGUCUGAGAGGAUGAUCAGUCAAACUGGAAAGGAGACACGGUCCAGACUCCGCCGGGAGGCAGCAGUGGGGAAUAUUGGACAAUGGGAGCAAGCCUGAUGCAGCCAUGCCGCGUGUAUGAAGAAGGCCGUCGGGUUGGAAAGUACUUUCAGUCGGGAGGCGUUACCGACAGAAGAAUCACCGGCUAACUCCGUGCCAGCAGCCGCGGUAAUUC
rnacentral:rRNA from 1 species